ensembl:lncRNA
AUGGUCUCAGCCCCUGAGCCACCCUGGCAAGUCCCAGGCCACGGUGAGGGGCUCAAGCCCUGGGGACACAGGGGCUGGCACCCCCCAGCAGCCCCAGGACCGUGUGUUUGUCCAGAGGGGACGGUGGUGGCUCCUUCCAGAGCCAUCAGCCCAUCCACAGGCUCUUGGCCCACCCCGGAGGAAGGCAGGAGAGGUAGGGAGGUCUGGAGGACAGCAGCAGCAGGGUCUCCAGGCAUGGCCAUGCCCACCUCUCCCCCAGGGACGUGGAAGGGGCCCUGGGGAAGAGCAGGACCACACAGAAAUAGUUCCGGACAGUGUUUUACAAAUAGUUGUUGGCUUUGGCAGCUGGAGCAGUUCAGUGGUGAGCCCAGAAGAGGUUGUGAUGGCAUCAGGCGUCCGGUGCUCCCCAGGCAGCAUCCACCACCAUCGGGGGAAGGCAGGAAGGGCACAGCCAGUCAAGCUCUACCUGCAAGAAGAAAAAAUCCCAGUGGGGACUGUUGGGGGGGGACAGCAAAUCCUAUAAGCCCCCAGAGCGGGCAGAGCAACCCCUCAGCUGCCUCUUACAGGGGCUGGCAAAGGACCCCAAGCCCUCCUACUUGUCCGGCAAAGACCCAUCCAACGAUAAAUUCUGGCUGGUAGCCACAGCUGGAGGAGCAGGGCCACCACCAGGAGAGGGGCUGGAAGCAUCUUACCUACAGAUGUUGCGACACGGGUGGUCCCUUCUGCACCAGACCAAGACACCUGGGGACAAACCAGUCAUCAUCUCCAUUAAACACCCCAGAGAUGGUGCUCGGGCAACAUGUGGCAUCACUUGGUUGGGAAAUCUCAAGCUGUGAGAGGCUGCCAGCGCUCCCUGAGGCAGGGCUGGUGUUUGGGGGCCGAAGGAACAUCCCCUCCCUGUCCAUCUCCACGCUGCCCCAGGGACACCGAUGGUCCCACCGCUGGCCAGGGAGCCACCAGCUCCAGCCAUGUCUGAGCAGGUACAAGGGGAGCGUGACGGGGACGAGGAGAGCAGGAGAACAUCGAUGAGCUCCUCCAGCACCUACCCAGUGCCUGGAGGCGUUUUCACAGGAAAAACCUGAAAACUUUGUGCAAUAGCAAAACACACACAUAAAUCACCUCGGGAGAACCUCCUACUUCUAUUUUAAACUGCCAGAGCCUCUUCUCAAGUCCAGACUUGGGCAUUUCUUUGUUUGGUUUUUUUUUUUCCCCACUCCAAGUUUGCAGGCAGCAAUCUCAGAAUUAAAAAUCCCCACUUUGCCAGGGACUGGGGUUGGGCCGGAAGAAACACUCUCCAGCUCCAAAAAAGGAGGAAAAAAGCAAGACCACUGAGUAAAGCAGCACUUUUCCCUCCUGCGGGCAGAAAACCACUGCAGACGGCGGUGGGGGGACUCAGUGCUCUUGCCCUAGAAGGGAUGUGUGACAUCCCCCGGUGCCCAUGGGACUCUGGGGGGGGUUUGACCCAGACAAGGACAGUAAAGUGUAAUCUCCCGCCUGCUCUGGACAUGCAGGAGGCAUUUUCAUGCCAGCCUUCCCCUGCCCCACGUCUGGGAGCAGGGAGGAAAGGGAAGGUGACAGAGGGCAACAGCACCUCCUGGGGUUGGGGGACACCCUGCUUGAAACCACAGCAGUGACAAAG